GACGAACGCUGGCGGCGUGCUUAACACAUGCAAGUCGAACGGUGAUGCUCCAGCUUGCUGGAGUGGAUCAGUGGCGAACGGGUGAGUAACACGUGAGCAACCUGCCCCAGACUCUGGAAUAAGCGCUGGAAACGGCGUCUAAUACUGGAUACGAAACUGGCCCGCAUGGGCAUGGUUUGGAAAGUUUUUCGGUUUGGGAUGGGCUCGCGGCCUAUCAGCUUGUUGGUGAGGUAAUGGCUCACCAAGGCGACGACGGGUAGCCGGCCUGAGAGGGCGACCGGCCACACUGGGACUGAGACACGGCCCAGACUCCUACGGGAGGCAGCAGUGGGGAAUAUUGCACAAUGGGCGAAAGCCUAAUGCAGCGACGCCGCGUGAGGGAUGACGGCCUUCGGGUUGUAAACCUCUUUCAGCAGGGAAGAAGCGAAAGUGACGGUACCUGCAGAAGAAGCACCGGCUAACUACGUG
rnacentral:rRNA from 1 species